AUUGCAGGAGCCGGACGAUGGAAGGGUCACUCUUGGCACCUUUGAUGAACUCCUCCAGAGAGAGUUUGCCUAUAGUCCAGAAGAGACCCCAGGCGUCGACUCAUCUUCUGGCAUCUUCAUCACUGAGGACACCAUCUUGUAGAUCGCCUGCGGAAGGAAGAAGAAUGUAUCUUGGGCAAAACAGUUUCAUAAAGCUCAUAAGGUAUUAAAAAGUUACAUUCUUCAAGAA